GGGGGGUGGGGUUUAUAGGCUCAAGGAGCAUCUUGCGGGACGUAAAGGUGGUGGACCUAUCUGCACGUUGGUUCCUCGCGAAGUUCGCCUCUCGAUGAACCGUUACUUAGAUGGCCGUUUGGGGAAGGUGGGCAAUCAGGAGACUGAAGAAGACGAGAGUAAUUCCGGUUCGGGGUUGGUUCAUAGUCAGAUGCAGUUGUUAGCACAGCCUGUGGUGGAUGGUAAUAACAUUAUUAC
rnacentral:lncRNA from 1 species